GUGGGGAAUAUUGGACAAUGGGCGAAAGCCUGAUCCAGCCAUGCCGCGUGUGUGAAGAAGGUCUUCGGAUUGUAAAGCACUUUAAGUUGGGAGGAAGGGCAGUAAGUUAAUACCUUGCUGUUUUGACGUUACCGACAGAAUAAGCACCGGCUAACUUCGUGCCAGCAGCCGCGGUAAUACGAAGGGUGCAAGCGUUAAUCGGAAUUACUGGGCGUAAAGCGCGCGUAGGUGGUUUUGUAAGUUGGAGGUGAAAUCCCCGGGCUCAACCUGGGAACUGCCUCCAAAACUGCAUGACUAGAGUACGGUAGAGGGUAGUGGAAUUUCCUGUGUAGCGGUGAAAUGCGUAGAUAUAGGAAGGAACACCAGUGGCGAAGGCGACUACCUGGACUGAUACUGACACUGUGGUGCGAAAGCGUGGGGAGCAAACAGGAUUAGAAACCCUUGUAGUCC
rnacentral:rRNA from 1 species